rnacentral:rRNA from 1 species
CCUACGGGAGGCAGCAGUAGGGAAUAUUGCUCAAUGGGGGAAACCCUGAAGCAGCAACGCCGCGUGGAGGAUGAAGGUUUUCGGAUUGUAAACUCCUUUUGUCAGAGACGAUAAUGACGGCAUUUCCUGACUACUCACCGGCUACCUCCGUGCCAGCAGCCGCGGUAAUACGGAGGGUGCAAGCGUUACUCGGAAUCACUGGGCGUAAAGAGCGCGUAGGCGGGAUAGCAAGUCAGAUGUGAAAUCCUAGGGCUUAACCAUAGAACUGCAUUUGAAACUGUUAUUCUAGAGUAUGGGAGAGGUAGUUGGAAUUCUUGGUGUAGGGGUAAAAUCCGUAGAGAUCAAGAGGAAUACUCAUUGCGAAGGCGAACUGCUAGAACGUAACUGACGCUGAUGCGCGAAAGCGUGUGGAGCAAACAGGAUUAGAUACCCGUGUAGUC